UUUAUAAAAAGGAAAAAGGAAAUUCGUAAAAAUAAGUAUCCUGCAGAUCAAUGAAGCGUAAGCAGGGACUGCUUUAGACUGUGCAUGGACUGAACUGGCAAAUAGAAAGGAGGAACUUGGGAGAAAUGGUCAGUCACCAAACCAACCAACAAUAAAUGUGCAACCAUCUUUUCAUAGAUCAAGGAUCAUGAAUGUUCAACAAUUAUUCAACAAACCCAUAUUCCGUCUAACUUGCUUUGCUUGUGGAACUGAGGGGCAUAAAGCGGCUCAAUGUCCCAACAAUACAUUUGUUAUAAACAAUAAUGAUAAUAAUACAAGUAAAUUUGUUAACAAUGUGCAUUCUGAUCAUUCUAACCCAAUUCUGGAUCGAUCUACUGCAAUCAGAGGAAGGCAAGCACCGUUGACUCUUGUUAUGAAUAGAAAUAAAAGUUUUGGAGUGAGGAAGACGCUGAUGAAAAAGACAAUAUUCACAAGGAAAAAACCCUCCAAGAUUAAUGGAGCUGAGGAGUUUCAGCAGGAAUUUGCCUAUAUGGGAAUAAAUGAAGAUAAUGAAUAAUAUUAUGAAAAAUCAAAACUAAUGAAAUGUUCGAUGACUAACGAUAACUAUCAGAUCAACAAAGAACAAACGAACAAUAAAUGAUGAAAAACCCGGUAAGCAAGACAAACGAUAAGAUUAUAGACAGAGGGCGAAAACUUUAAAAAAAGUGGGAAAUGUUAAGUAGUUGUAAUUGUUUUUUUUUAUUUAUAAUUCUCCUGUAAACUACUUGUUUUG